GGAAGGAGAGCACGCCGUGUCGCCGAUC
rnacentral:sRNA from 1 species